rnacentral:rRNA from 1 species
UACGUAGGGACCGAGCGUUGUCCGGAAUCAUUGGGCGUAAAGAGCGUGUAGGCGGCUCGCUAAGUCUUGCGUGAAAUCUCGGGGCUCAACCCCGAGCGGUCGUGAGAAACUGGCGGGCUAGAGUGCGGGAGAGGAGAGUGGAAUUCCUGGUGUAGCGGUGAAAUGCGCAGAUAUCAGGAGGAACACCGGUGGCGAAGGCGGUUCUCUGGGCAUUACCUGACGCUGAGGAGCGAAAGUGUGGGGAGCGAACAGG